UACGGGGGGGGCAAGCGUUGUUCGGAAUUACUGGGCGUAAAGGGCUCGUAGGCGGCCAACUAAGUCAGACGUGAAAUCCCUCGGCUUAACCGGGGAACUGCGUCUGAUACUGGAUGGCUUGAGUUUGGGAGAGGGAUGCGGAAUUCCAGGUGUAGCAGUGAAAUGCGUAGAUAUCAAGUGGAACACCAGUGGCGAAGGCGAGUCCCUGGACGACUCCUGACACUGAGGCACGAAAGCUAGGGGAGCAAACAGG
rnacentral:rRNA from 1 species